GCCCGUUUAGCUCAGUGGUAGAGCGCGCCACUCGUAAUUGUUUACGUAAUAUGGUGAGGUCGGUUGUUCAAUCCAGCCAGUGGGCA